rnacentral:rRNA from 1 species
GAUGAACGCUAGCUACAGGCUUAACACAUGCAAGUCGAGGGGCAGCGCAGUGUAGCAAUACAUGGGCGGCGACCGGCGCACGGGUGCGUAACGCGUAUCCAACCUUCCCGAUACUCAGGGAUAGCCUUCCGAAAGGGAGAUUAAUACCUGAUGGUGUUGAAAUUCUGCAUGUUAUUUCAACUAAAGAUUUAUCGGUAACGGAUGGGGAUGCGUGACAUUAGAUAGUAGGCGGGGUAACGGCCACCUAGCCGACGAUGGAUAGGGGUUCUGAGAGGAAGGUCCCCCACACUGGAACUGAGACACGGUCCAGACUCCUACGGGAGGCAGCAGUGAGGAAUAUUGGUCAAUGGUCGGAAGACUGAACCAGCCAUGCCGCGUGAAGGUGACGGCCCUAUGGGUCUUAAACUUCUUUUGUAAGGGAGCAAUAAGGUCUACGUGUAGAUUGAUGAGAGUACCUUACGAAUAAGCAUCGGCUAACUCCGUG